rnacentral:rRNA from 1 species
GCUAAAACCUAGCCCAAAUAUUCUAGAAUUUUAUUAAACUAAUUAAUCUUGCAAAAUAAACCAUUCUAAUUCUUUAGUAAAGGCGAUUGAAAAACUUAUUGGAGCUAUAAAAAUAGUACCGCAAGGGAAAGGUGAAAUAUCGUAUGAAAAAUUUUUAAGCAAAAAAAAGUAAAGAUUACUUCUUGUACCUUUUGCAUCAUGGUUUAACUAGUCUAAUCAAGCAAAACGUAUUUCAGUUUGACUUCCCGAAACUAAGUGAGCUACUUCGAGGCAGCUUAAAGAGCGAACCCGUCUCUGUAGCAAAAGAGUGGGACGACCCCCAAGUAGCGGUGACAGACCUAACGAACUUAGUGAUAGCUGGUUACUCAAGAAACGGAUCUUAGUCCAACCUGAAAUUCACCUUUAGUCAAUCUAAACAAUAUCUAAAUUUCAGCGUAAUUCAAAUAAGGUACAGCCUAUUUGAAACAGGAUACAACCUAGACCACUGGAUAAGAUUAGCCACAUGAACAACCAAGUAGGCCUAAAAGCAGCCAUCUUUAAAACAGCGUCAAAGCUUAAUUGUUCUUAUGCCUAAAUUUCCUCACCACCAUCAUAUUCCUACAUUACUAUUGAGUAAUUCUAUAGGAUUAUAGAAAAUUUUAUGUUAAAACUAGUAACAAGAAGAAGACCCUUCUCUUUAAUGUAAGUGUACAUCAGAAAGGACAAACCACUGAUAUUUAACAUUUCUGAGCUUGAAAUAGAAACCGACCAAGAAAACCCUACUUUCACCCAUGUUAACCUAACACCAGAACAUUUUAAGAAAGAUUAAAAGAAAAAGAAGGAACUCGGCAAAUAUUAACCUCGCCUGUUUACCAAAAACAUCGCCUCUUGAGUACAUAUAAGAGGUCCAGCCUGCCCAGUGACCAUGUUCAACGGCCGCGGUAUCCUAACCGUGCGAAGGUAGCGUAAUCACUUGUUCUUUAAAUGAGGACUAGUAUGAACGGCAUCACGAAGGUUAUACUGUCUCCUUUUUCCAAUCAGUGAAUCUAAUCUUCCCGUGAAGAAGCGGGAAUAAAAAUAUAAGACGAGAAGACCCUAUGGAGCUUAAAACAACACAGCACCUGCUAUAAAACACAAAAAUUUCAGAAUCCCUAAUUAUCCUGGCAGCAUGACUGUAAGUUUUUGGUUGGGGUGACCACGGAGCAUAAUAUAACCUCCACGUUGAAAGAAUUUUAUUCUAAGCUAAAAAUUACACUUUUAAGCAUCAAUAAAUUGACAUCUAUUGACCCAAUACACUUGAACAACGAACCAAGUUACCCUAGGGAUAACAGCGCAAUCCACUUCAAGAGCUCCUAUCGACAAGUGGGUUUACGACCUCGAUGUUGGAUCAGGGUUUCCCAGUGGUGCAGCCGCUACUAAAGGUUCG